UGUUUAAACAAUAAUAACCUUGUAUGCCCCAGUCUCCACAACCCUUCCUGGGCAGCCAUUAACAUUAACAUUAAAUCAUUAGCACUCUUGGACAGGUUGUGGGAGUAGCCUCCCUGUGGGUCAAAUCCAGGAGGCAUUACGGGUGGAAAGGCACAGCGGGAAAUGCCUGAGUUUUGCUGGCCAGCCUUCAGGCAACCAGUACGGUUGAAACCAGAAAUGCUUGCAGGUUACUGACCUCUCCUGACUCCUCAGUGGCCUCUCCUAGGCCAAAUAAUUGCAAUGUAGAUGCUACAUUGGAAGUGUUCUCCAUCUCUGCAACGUAAGGUCACCAAAAUGGGACCGUGACGACCCAGUGCCAAGCAGCACUGGCACACUUCUGGCAUGGCUGGCAAUGUGAGGAUGGUGCAGCUCCACCGCUCUUUGCCAUUUCCAGAGCUCUUGCAAGCUGUUACGGGUGAAGCUUUUCCUGCACAGGUUUAGAGGAUCUGGUCCCAAGACAUUAACUGCCCACAUCACUAGUGAACUGAAGGUAAGUCGUACAUGCAGCUUUAGAUCUUCACUAGGAAGCCUGAUUUGUCUAAUUGCAGAAUCAAAAAGUUCAACAAAGUGGCUACACAUUGGGACAUGAAAAGUGCAUUUACAGGAUUAUUUUUUCAUUGAAGGGAAAAGAGCAUUUUCUCCUGUAUAAGGAAAUGUCCUGGAUAUGAGGAGAAAAAUUACUUUGUCAAUCCCUGUGUUGUUGAUUUGCUGUUUUAAAGAAACUCAAAGUUCAGAGGAUGAGAUUUCUCCAGAUAUCAAGCAUCCAGGAGAGCUGGCAAGAGUGUAUUGAAACUAACUGGAAGGUUUACAGAUUCCAGUUGCUCCUGGACUCACUAAGAAGGUAAGAGGGAAACACAGUGAUGACGGGUUGUAAAACCAAGAGCAAGGACAUAAAGCAGAGCAAUAGCUCAGAGCAUAUGAACCAGACUUGUGGGUGAAACCAGUGUUGGAGGUCAAUUCCUGUCCAGGAGGACAAUUCCUGUGCUCCAGCCAGACGGCACAUGGGACCAGACUGAAAAACAUAGCCACGUAUACAAUAUGGAUGUGGGGUCCUUGUUUCUGACUUCAGCUCUGCUCCCAUUUGGCUGUUUAGCUUUCUAAUGUAGAUACAGCCAUCUAACACCCAGCAUCCUUCAGCAGGUAAGAAAUUAUUAUUGCAUUACAGACUAUUGGUUUUACUACUAAAAUUGUUUCAACUAAGUGCUGGAAUCCCUAAAAUAAUAUAAUGCUCAUCCCAGAACUGUUCUCAUGAUUUAAACUCAAGGCUUUCAAAUCCCUAGCACAGGUUUUAUUUCUUCCUAAGCCAAAGCAGCAAUUCUGCUUUUGAUAACUCUGAUAGCACAUGCACACUAAAAAAAACAAACCAAAACAAAAAAUAUUUCUUUUGCACUUUGACUUACAUGCCAAGUGUGCUUAUUUUCUCCUAGGUAGAAUGAAUCUUGGAUUUAAUUACUUUCAUAUUAAUUACAUGCUUUUAAUCUAUGGUUUAGUGAUUUACUAGUGAUUUGCAGUGAACAAAAUGCACACAGGCUAGGAGAAACACUUCCCUUUGUAGAUGGCUGCUGUAUAUCCUUUCUAAAUCCUACCAAGCCUUGUGAGUUAAGACCCAAGUAGUUUAUAGGCUUUGAAAAAAUGAACACAUUACAGUCUUUAAGAAAAUCAUUGCCAUCUCCCUGUUAGGUAGUAGCACUCCCACUGUUACUCAACUUUAGAUGUUCAUAAACAUGGCUGUCAAGUUACUUGGGUGUAAAGGCCAAAAAACUUGUCACAGAAAACUUAAGAUCUCAGACAUUCAGACAGGAUUUUGUUCAAACCUUCUCUACUGGUUUUUAAUUUUCCUUUUGUCUUUCUGUCAUUGCUAUGAAAUCGCAGGUGGGCCAGAUUCCUAAAGUCAAGCUAGGAUAAAUUAAUUUACAAACUUUCUAGGUAUCUAGGUUUAAAGUUUUAGCUGCACCCAUUUCCAGUACGUAAAAAUCACACACUUGUAUUGCUGUUCCCUUCUGAACAUCUGAAAACUACAGCAUUAAAGAAUUAGUCCCCAAAGCGUUAUUAUCCACUUCCAACUGAUGGGGUACAAAGAGGCUUGAUGACUUCUUCAAGCUGCGGGAAAGCUGGGAAAGGAACCCAGAUGUCCUGUUUCCUCAUCCUGUCCCUGAACCACAAACCACACGUCUUUGCCUUAUUAGCGACAAUCACAGCACAUGAAAACAGACUAUUUAUAUCAAAAUAUUUCAUCUGUUCUCACUCAUUAUUCCCUAACUCACCAAUGUUGGCAAGGCGACAAUAUAUUUUUCCCAGUAAGCACAAACAGAUUGUUAGGUUUUCUGCUGAGAUACAAGCUCCACAAGAAGAGUUCCCAAAUAACUAAAAUCAAAAGGACCGUGUUUUCAGUGGAACAUCCUUGGUAGUGCAGCAAUGGGAGAGAAGAUUUCUUAACAUCUUCCUCGGUUGGCUCUGACAGCUGUAUUAAAAGCACAGAUCAAAAAAGGAUUACAUUGUAAGUAUCAACCCAGAAUGAGGUAAGCCAAAGGGAAGAAACAAACAAAAAAAUCAAACAAAAAAACCCCCACAAUAGAAAUGGGCUUUGGAAAGUUCUGUUUUUUCAAUCAUUUCAAUUCUUGCUCAGUAUUCCCCAAGUGCAGGGAUGAGCCUGUCCCUCCUGUGAAUCCCCAGCAGGAUGGCCCCUGUCAUGGAUCAAGCUCCCUUAAAGCACAGGUGACUGUGAAAAGCCCAUUAGAAGGCUGGCUACAGGUGGGGCUCAGGGGUGUUGGAGGCUUUGGCUGGGUGUCCCAGCUCUCACACACUGCUGGGAAUGCUACGACCACACAUCUGGAGCUAACUUGCCAUGGACAGGCUCUCACAAACCUGCAAAUGGGAGACAGGAUCCCUGCAAAGCGCCAGGUCUAAUGAUAAUGGCACUGAAACAAGCAGGGUAUUUAGUUGAGAGCUCUAGCUGAGUUUAUACUUGAUAAAGCAAAAAGAGCACUGCUAGCCAUUUGAUAUGCUGGAUGUUUCUUUUAUAUAAACAGGGAGAAAAUGGAGGAGGCUCUAAGAACAAAACCUCGCAGGAGGAGUUGAAGGUGUUAAUCUGGAAGAACAAAUUGAUUAAGGCAGACUGGAUGAUUCCGACUUUUGUUUCCACAACACUAAACAUGAACAGCUCUGCUCAAAGAGAACAGUGGCAUGGACAUGGUGUAUUAGGAAGCUGAAGCACAGAAGCAGCACACCAGUUACAGAAAAAAGACUCAAAAAUAUCACCAAAACAAGGACUGAGCAGUACUGUGAGUUUCAAGGCUUCGUUCAAGGUCUUUGCUUUCCAGGGACUCUUAGGAGGUUACGGAGGGUGGGGAGGCAUGGGUCGUACCGACGACAACUCCUGUUCCCUGGCUACAGUGGGAAGUGAGAGGAGGGAUAAUUCGUCAUUCCAUCACAGCCUUACUGAAACAUGGCACUUGGGCUGAAGUCCACUGCUCCCCGCGAUUCAAUCAUCACCAGCUGAACUGCUGGCCAUAUGAUGCCAUCAUAUGAGAUUCCUGUCCAGACAGCCAAAGGCAGACUGAGAUGUGUCAGCAUGCCAGCAAAUCCCUCCUGUGAUAUUUGGACUCCCCUAGCAAAAUCCUUUGACCGAUUUCUCUGUCACCGUCAAGGAUGGAUGCUGCUGUGAGAACAGAUUGAUGAAGUGACAGAAAAAUUCUGGAAGCUGUUUUUUGACUCUAUACCAAAGACUAGCAAGGAUGCAUGUUUGUUUCUCAGCCCUGAUGCCCAUAUCUGAACUUGGAACUUGUCACACUGUGUUAAUGUGAAGCACAUUUGGGUUAAAGUACGGGCUUAGGCCUAUGCUCAAAACCCAACUCAUAGGUACUGCUGGUAAUAACUCAUUUAACAUACUCACAAGGAUAUUAUGGAGUAUCUAAGGCAAUUCUGGGCUAAGUGGUAUAAGGAAGAGAUUGCAUGGGUAAAGAUCAUCACACAGUUGCUUUUGCUUCCUCAUGCAUCUUUCUGAACCAACCAAUCUGGACACUUACAGAAACAGGAAAUCUGGAUUUGAUUUACCAUGGCAAUACUUCCAAAUAAGCUGUGUUUUUAGUAUGCUUGUAUAUGAGUAGCUCGGUAGUGUAAGCAUGAGAAGAGAAUAAAGAAGCAUUGUUGUAGUCUAA